ensembl:lncRNA
GUGUGUUUGAAUAUAUCUCUGUAUUUCAAGAGUCUUUUGUGGAUUCACAGACACACACUCUAGUCUGUUAUUAACAGUGUCUGUCCCAGAAGGCAGAGUCUGUCCCAGCAAGAAGAAGGUAGUGUCUGUCCCAGAAGGCAGAGUCUGUCCCAGCAAGAAGAAGGUAGUGUCUGCCCCAGCAGGCAGUGUCUGUCCCAGCAAGAAGAAGGUAGUGUCUCUCCCAGCAGGCAAAGCCUGUCCCAGCAAGAAGAAGGUAGUGUCUCUCCCAGCAGGCAGAGUCUGUCCCAGCAAGAAGAAGGUUAUGUCUUUCACACCAGGUUGUACCUGUCCCUGAAGGUAGUGUCUGUUUCACCAAGUAGUGUCUGUCCCAGCAGGUAGUGUCUGUCCCAGCAGGUAGUGUCUGUCCCAGCAGGUAGUGUCUCUCCCAGCAGGUAGUGUCUGUCUAAGCAGGUAGUGUCUGUCCAAGCAAGUAGAAGGUAGUGACUGUCCCAGCAGGUAGUGACUGUCCCAGCAGGUAGUGACUGUCUCAGCAGGUAGUGUCUGUCCAACCAGGUAGUGUCUGUCCAACCAGGUAGUGUCUGUCCAACCAGGUAGUGUCUGUCCAACCAGGUAGUGUCUGUCCAACCAGGUAGUGUCUGUCCCGGAAGUUAGUGUCUGUCCUAGAAGUUAGUGUAUGUCCCAGAAGUGAUUGUCUGUCCCAGAAGUUAGUGUCUGUCCCAGCAGGUGGAAGGUAGUGUCUACUCCAGAAGGCAGUAUCUAUCCCAGCAGGUAGUUUCUGUCCCAGCAGGUUGUGUCUGUCAAAUCAGGUGGUUUCUGGCCCAGCAGGUAGUGUCUGGCCCAGCAGGUUGUGUCUGUCAAAUCAGGUGGUUUCUGGCCCAGCAGCUAGUGUCUG